UGGGGAAUUUUGGACAAUGGGCGCAAGCCUGAUCCAGCCAUGCCGCGUGAGUGAAGAAGGCCUUCGGGUUGUAAAGCUCUUUCGGCCGGGAAGAAAUCGUGUUCUCUAACAUAGGACAUGGAUGACGGUACCGGACUAAGAAGCACCGGCUAACUACGUGCCAGCAGCCGCGGUAAUACGUAGGGUGCGAGCGUUAAUCGGAAUUACUGGGCGUAAAGCGUGCGCAGGCGGUUUUGUAAGACGGAUGUGAAAUCCCCGGGCUUAACCUGGGAACUGCGUUUGUGACUGCAAGGCUGGAGUACGGCAGAGGGGGGUGGAAUUCCACGUGUAGCAGUGAAAUGCGUAGAGAUGUGGAGGAACACCGAUGGCGAAGGCAGCCCCCUGGGCCUGUACUGACGCUCAUGCACGAAAGCGUGGGGAGCAAACA
rnacentral:rRNA from 1 species